rnacentral:rRNA from 1 species
CGGAACGGGUGAGUAACACGUAGACAACCUGCCCCCUGGCCCGGGACGAACCUCUGGAAACGGAGGCUGAUACCGGACGGGCAGGAGAGGGGCAUCCCUCUCCUGUGAAAGGCCCUGCAAGGGGCCGCGAGGGGAUGGGUCUGCGGUGCAUUAGCUAGUUGGCGGGGCAGCGGCCCACCAAGGCGACGAUGCAUAGCCGGCCUGAGAGGGCGGACGGCCACAUUGGGACUGAGACACGGCCCAGACUCCUACGGGAGGCAGCAUG